GAUGAACGCUGGCGGCGUGCCUAAUACAUGCAAGUCGAGCGAACAGAUGAGGAGCUUGCUCCUCUGACGUUAGCGGCGGACGGGUGAGUAACACGUGGAUAACCUACCUAUAAGACUGGGAUAACUUCGGGAAACCGGAGCUAAUACCGGAUAAUAUAUUGAACCGCAUGGUUCAAUAGUGAAAGAGGGUUUUGCUGUCACUUAUAGAUGGAUCCGCGCCGCAUUAGCUAGUUGGUAAGGUAACGGCUUACCAAGGCAACGAUGCGUAGCCGACCUGAGAGGGUGAUCGGCCACACUGGAACUGAGACACGGUCCAGACUCCUACGGGAGGCAGCAGUAGGGAAUCUUCCGCAAAGGGCGAAAGCCUGACGGAGCAACGCCGCGUGAGUGAUGAAGGUCUUCGGAUCGUAAAACUCUGUUAUUAGGGAAGAACAAAUGUGUAAGUAACUAUGCACGUCUUGACGGUACCUAAUCAGAAAGCCACGGCUAACUACGUG
rnacentral:rRNA from 1 species